rnacentral:lncRNA from 1 species
AAGAACAAUUACAAUAGACAACAAUAGAUUAUAGUAAGUAACAACAAACUCAACCCCAAAAUGUAAAACUUUUUUAAAAAAGACAUGAUUUUUAUGAAACCAUCAAAAAAGCUUUGCGCUUUUCAAACAAUGUCUUCUUCUUUGUGGGUCUCAAUGGUAACAUCAGAAGUAGGAUAAGCAGCACAAGUGAGAACAAAUCCUUCACCAAUCUGGUCGUCAUCGAGGAAACUCUGGUCAGACUGGUCAACAGAUCCAGUCACAACUUUACCGGCACAGCUCGAGCAAGAACCAGCACGGCAAGAGUAAGGAAGAUCGAUUCCGGCUUCCUCCGCCGCGUCGAGGACGUAAACGUCGUCGUCGCACUCAACCUCUUGCUCUCCUUCCGGUGUGAUAAAUUUGACCUUGUAUGUAGCCAUGGCUGUGACGCGUCCGCCGCGUGAGGUGGCUGAUUUGAGACCGAAGAGGGAUUGAGUGUUGCCUGAUGGGAGGGAACGGAGGCUGAUCGGAGCUGUUUGACGGCGGAUGAAGGAUGUUCCGACGAUGGCGCUUGAGAGAGCUGUGGAAGCCAUUUUUUCUGUGUUUUAGAUUUUUAGAUGAUUUGAGAGAUUUUUGGGUUUCUUCUCUCUGUGUUAUGGCUUGUGGAAAUGGC